rnacentral:rRNA from 1 species
CUACGGGCUGCUGCAGUGGGGAAUAUUGCACAAUGGGCGAAAGCCUGAUGCAGCAACGCCGCGUGCGGGAAGAAGGCCUUAGGGUUGUAAACCGCUUUCAGCAGGGAAGAAAAUGACGGUACCUGCAGAAGAAGGUGCGGCCAACUGACGUGCCAGCAGCGCGCGGUGACACGUAGGCACCAAGCGUUGUCCGGAUUUAUUGGGCGUAAAGAGCUCGUAGGCGGUUCAGUAAGUCGGGUGUGAAAACUCUGGGCUCAACCCAGAGACGCCACUCGAUACUGCUGUGACUAGAGUGCGGUAGGGGAGCGGGGAAUUCCUAGUGUAGCGGUGAAAUGCGCAGAUAUUAGGAGGAACACCAGUGGCGAAGGCGCCGCUCUGGGCCGUAACUGACGCUGAGGAGCGAAAGCGUGGGGAGCAAACAGGAUUAGAUACCCUAGUAGUC